rnacentral:rRNA from 1 species
UACGAAGGGGGCUAGCGUUGCUCGGAAUCACUGGGCGUAAAGCGCACGUAGGCGGCUUCUUAAGUCGGGGUUGAAAUCCUGGGGCUCAACCCCAGAACUGCCCUUGAUACUGAGGAGCUUGAGUCCGGGAGAUGUGAGUGGAACUCCGAGUGUAGAGGUGAAAUUCGUAGAUAUUCGGAAGAACACCAGAGGCGAAGGCGGCUCACUGGUCCGGUACUGACGCUGAGGUGCGAAAGCGUGGGGAGCAAACAGG